rnacentral:rRNA from 1 species
UACGGAAGGUCCGGGCGUUAUCCGGAUUUAUUGGGUUUAAAGGGAGCGCAGGCGGGAUUUUAAGCGUGUUGUGAAAUGUAACGGCUCAACCGUUGAAUUGCAGCGCGAACUGGAGUCCUUGAGUGAGUACGACGUCAGCGGAAUUCGUGGUGUAGCGGUGAAAUGCUUAGAUAUCACGAAGAACUCCGAUUGCGAAGGCAGCUGACGAGUCCUUAACUGACGCUAAAGCUCGAAAGUGCGGGUAU